ACGCUGGCGGCAGGCCUAACACAUGCAAGUCGAGCGGAAACGAGUUAUCUGAACCUUUCGGGGAACGAUAACGGCGUCGAGCGGCGGACGGGUGAGUAAUGCCUAGGAAAUUGCCCUGAUGUGGGGGAUAACCAUUGGAAACGAUGGCUAAUACCGCAUGAUGCCUACGGGCCAAAGAGGGGGACCUUCGGGCCUCUCGCGUCAGGAUAUGCCUAGGUGGGAUUAGCUAGUUGGUGAGGUAAGGGCUCACCAAGGCGACGAUCCCUAGCUGGUCUGAGAGGAUGAUCAGCCACACUGGAACUGAGACACGGUCCAGACUCCUACGGGAGGCAGCAGUGGGGAAUAUUGCACAAUGGGCGCAAGCCUGAUGCAGCCAUGCCGCGUGUGUGAAGAAGGCCUUCGGGUUGUAAAGCACUUUCAGUCGUGAGGAAGGUAGUGUAGUUAAUAGCUGCAUUAUUUGACGUUAGCGACAGAAGAAGCACCGGCUAACUCCGUGCCAGCAGCCGCGGUAAUACGGAGGGUGCGAGCGUUAAUCGGAAUUACUGGGCGUAAAGCGCAUGCAGGUGGUUUGUUAAGUCAGAUGUGAAAGCCCGGGGCUCAACCUCGGAAUUGCAUUUGAAACUGGCAGACUAGAGUACUGUAGAGGGGGGUAGAAUUUCAGGUGUAGCGGUGAAAUGCGUAGAGAUCUGAAGGAAUACCGGUGGCGAAGGCGGCCCCCUGGACAGAUACUGACACUCAGAUGCGAAAGCGUGGGGAGCAAACAGGAUUAGAUACCCUGGUAGUCCACGCCGUAAACGAUGUCUACUUGGAGGUUGUGGCCUUGAGCCGUGGCUUUCGGAGCUAACGCGUUAAGUAGACCGCCUGGGGAGUACGGUCGCAAGAUUAAAACUCAAAUGAAUUGACGGGGGCCCGCACAAGCGGUGGAGCAUGUGGUUUAAUUCGAUGCAACGCGAAGAACCUUACCUACUCUUGACAUCCAGAGAACUUUCCAGAGAUGGAUUGGUGCCUUCGGGAACUCUGAGACAGGUGCUGCAUGGCUGUCGUCAGCUCGUGUUGUGAAAUGUUGGGUUAAGUCCCGCAACGAGCGCAACCCUUAUCCUUGUUUGCCAGCGAGUAAUGUCGGGAACUCCAGGGAGACUGCCGGUGAUAAACCGGAGGAAGGUGGGGACGACGUCAAGUCAUCAUGACCCUUACGAGUAGGGCUACACACGUGCUACAAUGGCGCAUACAGAGGGCAGCCAACUUGCGAAAGUGAGCGAAUCCCAAAAAGUGCGUCGUAGUCCGGAUUGGAGUCUGCAACUCGACUCCAUGAAGUCGGAAUCGCUAGUAAUCGUGGAUCAGAAUGCCACGGUGAAUACGUUCCCGGGCCUUGUACACACCGCCCGUCACACCAUGGGAGUGGGCUGCAAAAGAAGUAGGUAGUUUAACCUUCGGGGGGACGC
rnacentral:rRNA from 1 species